rnacentral:rRNA from 1 species
AUGCCCAGUUCGAGCCUCUCCUUCCGUUUUUUCCCUCAGAUCGGAAAGAGCGGCGUGAUGCAAGCAUCAGCAAAGGGACGGAACCAACCCAUUACACUGGAAUGGAACCAUGACAUUCCAUUCCACUUCGUUCCUGAACCAAACACACGUAGGGCAUCGCCAAUGCUCCAGCGUGGGCAGGCGCCCCAGCUAUCCACGCAGGAUGCAGCAGGAGAGAGAAGAAAAGAUGGAUGCUUGCAGAACGAAUCGGUCUCUUACAGCAGAGGCCGGUGCUUCACCAGAAAGAAGGAGAAAAGAAGAGGAUAG